GAGGGUAGAGCUCAGUGGUAGGGUGCAUGCUUAACAUGCAUGAGGUCCUGAUUUCAAUCCUCAGUACCACUA
rnacentral:tRNA from 1 species